rnacentral:rRNA from 1 species
GAUGAACGCUAGCGGGAGGCUUAAUACAUGCAAGUCGAGCGGCAAGUUUUGAUAGCAAUAUUGGAACCUAGAGCGGCGCACGGGUGAGUAACGCGUACAUGACCUGCCCUAUACUGGGGGAUAGUCUUGGGAAACUGGGAGUAAUCCGCCAUAGUGUAUAUGAUCUGCAUGGAUGGUAUACUAAAGCUUCGGCGCUGUAAGAUGGGUGUGCGUCUGAUUAGGUAGUUGGUAGGGUAACGGCCUACCAAGCCAACGAUCAGUAGGGGGCUGAGAGCGUGGUCCCCCACACGGGUACUGAGACACGGACCCGACUCCUACGGGAGGCAGCAGUAAGGAAUAUUGGACAAUGGGCGGAAGCCUGAUCCAGCCAUGCCGCGUGCAGGAUGACGGCCCUCUGGGUUGUAAACUGCUUUAGAUCGGGAAGAAAGUUAUAUAUGUAUAUGUAAUUGACGGUACCGGUAGAAUAAGCACCGGCUAACUCCGUGCC